rnacentral:lncRNA from 1 species
GUGAAAAAUUGUCCUCUAAAAAAGGAAAUGUUGAAUGAAUUGAUCGUAAAUUAUAAGAUUUUAAAAUCUUUUUGCCUUCGAAAAAAGAUAAAGAAGAUAUUAAUCGUAGAGAAAACGGAAUUUCCACAAUAAAUACAAAUCCCUCUGAUAUCAUUUGAGAAUACAAACUCUUGUUGCACUCCAAAAAUGGAUUUUUGUUAGAAUCAUUAGUAGAAAUAAGAAAAUGAUUUUGUUGAUACAUUCGAGUAAUUAAACGUUUCACAAUUAGGAAACUAAAUUUAUUGUUAUAACCCGGAUUUUCCAACAAAAUUGACCUAUUUCUAUUUAAACCAUGAUCAUGAGCAAGUGCAUAAAUAUACUCCUGAAAGAUAAGUAGAUAUAGGAAGUUGUGUUGUUGCGAGCUAUCUAGCUGUAAAUAUCUUUGGAUUUCUUCCAUUUGAAAUUCUAUUUGAACCAAAUAUGGAAGAUUUUUAGGGUUAUCAAAUGAUACAUAGUGCUAUACAGUUAAAACAAAGCAUUAUAGUAAUACUAGAUACCUUAGAUACAGGUAAACUUCUCAACGGAUUCUCUAUUAUCUUUUUUUUUUGUUUCAGUUAAUUGGUCUAUGUUAUAGUAUUAUAGGAUAAUAAGAUGGUUAGAAAUCCUUUAUUUUUUCAACCUAAUUGCUCUUUUGACUUUAGAAAAAACUUUCUUUAUCAAUAUACUGUUUCUUCUACACACACAUCUCCAUAAUCGAAAAUGUUAAUAGUUAGGAUUCAUUAAAAAAAUCGAGAAUCCACUCAUGGGACAAGAAACCCUUCCCGCAUCAGGCACUAAUAAAUUUUUAACGUCUAAUUAGAUCGGGAAUCAUUCAAAUUAAGAACAAAAGCUCGUUGCUUUUUCUUUCCAUAUAAUUUAAUUGAAGCCGCAGCUCUAUCCAUUUAUUCAUUCGACCCAACUUUAUUUUGUUCCGUUCCAAGAAUUCUAACACGGUUUUAUACCCAUCUAGGAACAAUGAAAUAUUUUCAGAACUUUCCGUUGAUACGACAUGCUAUUUUUACCAUUCAUUCCCUUUCAGGAUCAGUCGUGGUCUUCCAAAAUUUACCGAGAGUAUGGACGAAUCCCUCACUUCAUCCAUAUGUGUAAAAGACACUAGCCGUACUUAAAAACUGAGUACUCUACCGUUGAGUUAGAAACAAGAAGAAAAUAUCAAAAAAAUGGUGUAGAUCCAAUUUGAAGAAAAAUAAAUAAAGAGAUUAGACAAGACAACCAAAAACCAUUGAAAGAAAAAGUCUAAAAAAAUAAAUUCACAUUCUGUACAUGCCAGAUCAUGAAUUAGUAACUGCUUCCAAUUUCUAAAAAAAAUUCCAAUUGUGUCGAACUUUCCAUUUUUGAAAUAGUUACGGAAUCUCCAUGAAUAGGAUCAAACCCUAUUGGUAUUUACAUGAGGUUCCUCUUUAAGAAAGUCCUUGAGAGGGCUUAGUUGAUCCAUGAUUUAUGUUCAUCUUUCGUUUCCUUUUCGUUUGUUUCGAGAAAUCUAUCGAUCAAUUCCGAUUCUUUCUUUUUCUCUUGAUUCUUUUUGAUUGAGAUGUAUAGAUCCUAUUCAUGGAUUAACAAAAAUGUGCAAAAGCUCUAUUUGCCUCUGCUAUUUUAUGAGUCUUUUCCUUUUUGCAUAUGGCAUCGCCACUCCCUUUGGCAGCAUCCACUAAUUCGAAACUUAAUUUGAAAGCCAUAUUUCGACCCGGACAUUUUUGGGAUGCCGCUAAUAACCAACUAAUGGCAAGUGCUUUUCCUUGUGUGGAUUCUAUUUCAAUGGGAACUUGAUGAUUCGAUCCACCUACACGUCUUUCUUUUAUUGUUAUAUCGGGAGUUACUCCACGUAUUGCUUGACGUAAAAUGGAUAGUGGAUUUGUUUCUAUCUUUUGUUGAAUCUUUUUCAUGGCUCGAUAGAUAAUUUAAUAAGCCAAUGAUUUUUUUUCCAUGUUUCGGUUAACCAACAUGUUAACUAAUCGAUUACGAUAAAUUGGAUCAGAUUUUGCUAUUUUUUUUGUAGUACCUCAACGUGACAUGAGCGGGAAAGGGGUUCAAGAAUCAGUUUUCUUUUUAUAAGGGCUAAAAUCACUUAUUUUGGAUUUUUUACCCCAUAUUAUAGGGUGGAUCUCGAAAGAUAUGAAAGAUCUCCCUCUAAGCCGUACAUACGACUUUCAUCGAAUACGACUUUCGGCAGAAUUCUAUAUGUAUCUAUGAGAUUGAGUAUGGAAUUCUGUUUACUCACUUUAAAUUGAGUGUUUAUUUCCCUCCCUUUCCUGUUAGGAUUGGAAAUCCUGUAUUUUAUAUAUCCAUACGAUUGAGUCCUUGGGUUUCUGAAAUAGUGUAAAAAGAAGUGCUUCGAAUUAUUGCUAUUUGACUCGGAUCUGUUCUAAAAAAGUCAAGGUAUUUUGAAUUGUUAGUUGACACAGACAAAGUCAGGGAAAACCGCUGAAAUUAUUUCAAUAUUGAACCUUGGACAUAUAAGAGUUCC